AGAGUUUGAUCCUGGCUCAGAAUCAACGCUGGCGGCGUGCCUAACACAUGCAAGUCGAGCGAGAAAGGGUAGCAAUACCUUAGUAAAGCGGCGCACGGGUGAGUAACACGUGGGUAACCUGCCUCAGAGUGGGGAAUAACACCGGGAAACCGGUGCUAAUACCGCAUACGCCGAUGGGGUCUUCGGACUUUAUCGGGAAAGGAGCAAUUCGCUCUGAGAGGGGCCCGCGGCUGAUUAGCUAGUUGGUGAGGUAAUGGCUCACCAAGGCAAUGAUCAGUAUCCGGUCUGAGAGGACGGUCGGACACACUGGAACUGAGACACGGUCCAGACUCCUACGGGAGGCAGCAGUGGGGAAUUUUUGGCAAUGGGGGAAACCCUGACCAAGCAACGCCGCGUGGAUGAUGAAGUAUUUCGGUACGUAAAAUCCUUUCGACGGGGACGAAACCGCAAGGUUGACGGUACCCGUAGAAGAAGCCCCGGCUAACUCCGUGCCAGCAGCCGCGGUAAUACGGGGGGGGCAAGCGUUGUUCGGAAUUACUGGGCGUAAAGGGCGCGUAGGCGGCCUGCUAAGUUGGAUGUGAAAACUCUGGGCUCAACCCAGAGCCUGCAUUCAAUACUGACGGGCUANAGUACUGGAGGGGAAAGCGGAAUUCCUGGUGUAGCGGUGAAAUGCGUAGAUAUCAGGAGGAACACCGGUGGCGAAGGCG
rnacentral:rRNA from 1 species